rnacentral:rRNA from 1 species
GCCUAUGGCCAUGUCACCGUGAAAGCAUCCAAUCUCAUCUGAUCUUGGAAGCUAAACAGGGUAAGGCCUGGUUAGUACUUGGAUGGAAGAAUUGCUUUUGUUGCACCCCAUAGGUU